GCAUGGGAUUGGAAGGAAAAAGCAGUUGAGCCAUCUAAACCUCCAGCACCAUCAUAUCUUGAUGACGAGGAGCAUGAUGAACCUGUGCAACAACAGUCUCCCUUAGAAAUACAACCAAUACAGCAUGGUCGAUCACAGAGACAACGACGUCUACCAGCUCAUUUGGAGGAUUACGUUGUCGGUAAUGAUGUUGAUACUCUAACUGACGAAGAUAUUUUGAACUUUGCCUUGUUUUCAGAUUGCGAUCCUGUGGAUUNNNN
rnacentral:lncRNA from 1 species